GCCAGAAUGGUUUAGUGGUCUGAGUAUUGGAUUGCAACUCUGAAGACCAGAGUUCAAAUCUCUACUCAGCCA